rnacentral:rRNA from 1 species
GGUUGUCAUGCCAAUGGCACUGCCCGGUAGCUAAAUGCGGAAGAGAUAAGUGCUGAAAGCAUCUAAGCACGAAACUUGCCCCGAGAUGAGUUCUCCCUGAGACUUUAAGUCUCCUGAAGGAACGUUGAAGACGACGACGUUGAUAGGCCGGGUGUGUAAGCGCAGCGAUGCGUUGAGCUAACCGGUACUAAUGAACCGUGAGGCUUAACCUU